AUUGAACGCUGGCGGCAGGCCUAACACAUGCAAGUCGAGCGGAUGAAGGGAGCUUGCUCCUGGAUUCAGCGGCGGACGGGUGAGUAAUGCCUAGGAAUCUGCCUGGUAGUGGGGGAUAACGUCCGGAAACGGGCGCUAAUACCGCAUACGUCCUGAGGGAGAAAGUGGGGGAUCUUCGGACCUCACGCUAUCAGAUGAGCCUAGGUCGGAUUAGCUAGUUGGUGGGGUAAAGGCCUACCAAGGCGGCGAUCCGUAACUGGUCUGAGAGGAUGAUCAGUCACACUGGAACUGAGACACGGUCCAGACUCCUACGGGAGGCAGCAGUGGGGAAUAUUGGACAAUGGGCGAAAGCCUGAUCCAGCCAUGCCGCGUGUGAAGAAGGUCUUCGGAUUGUAAAGCACUUUAAGUUGGGAGGAAGGGCAGUAAGUUAAUACCUUGCUGUUUUGACGUUACCAACAGAAUAAGCACCGGCUAACUUCGUA
rnacentral:rRNA from 1 species